rnacentral:rRNA from 1 species
GCCUGUUUAUCAAAAACAUGUCUUUUUGUGAAUAAUUUAAAGUCUAAUCUGCCCACUGAUAAUUUAUUAAAGGGCUGCAGUAUUUUGACUGUACAAAGGUAGCAUAAUCAUUAGUCUCUUAAUUGGUGACUUGUAUGAAGGAUUGAAUGAGAUAUAAACUGUCUUAAAGUUAAAAUAAAUUGAAUUUAAUUUUUUAAUUAAAAAGUUAAAAUAAAUUAAAAAGACGAGAAGACCCUAUAGAGUUUUAUAUUAAUUUAAAUUUAAUUUAUUUAUAAAUUUAAUAAGUAUAAAUUUAUUUUAUUAUUUUGUUGGGGUGAUAAAAAAAUAAAAAAAACUUUUUUUAAAUAUAUACAUAAAUAAGUGAUUUUUUGAUCCAAUUUUAUUGAUUAUAAGAAAAAAUUACCUUAGGGAUAACAGCGUAAUUUUUUUUUUUAGUUCUUAUAAGAAGGAAAGUUUGCGACCUCGAUGUUGGAUUAAGAUAAAAUUUAA